UACAGAGGUCUCAAGCGUUGUUCGGAAUUACUGGGCGUAAAGCGCACGUAGGCGGAUCGAUCAGUCAGGGGUGAAAUCCCGCAGCUCAACUGCGGAACUGCCUUUGAUACUGUCGGUCUAGAGUAUGGAAGAGGUGAGUGGAAUUCCGAGUGUAGAGGUGAAAUUCGUAGAUAUUCGGAGGAACACCAGUGGCGAAGGCGGCUCACUGGUCCAUUACUGACGCUGAGGUGCGAAAGCGUGGGGAGCAAACAGG
rnacentral:rRNA from 1 species